rnacentral:rRNA from 1 species
UCCAUAGCGGAGGAAAAGAAACCAACAGGGAUUGCCCCAGUAACGGCGAGUGAAGCGGCAAGAGCUCAAAUUUGAAAGCUGGCUCCUUCGGGGUCCGCAUUGUAAUUUGCAGAGGAUGCUUCGGGAGCGGUCCCCAUCUAAGUGCCCUGGAACGGGACGUCAUAGAGGGUGAGAAUCCCGUAUGGGAUGGGGUGUCCGCGCCCGUGUGAAGCUCCUUCGACGAGUCGAGUUGUUUGGGAAUGCAGCUCUAAAUGGGUGGUAAAUUUCAUCUAAAGCUAAAUAUUGGCCGGAGACCGAUAGCGCACAAGUAGAGUGAUCGAAAGAUGAAAAGCACUUUGAAAAGAGAGUUAAAAAGCACGUGAAAUUGUUGAAAGGGAAGCGCUUGCGACCAGACUCGCUCGCGGGGUUCAGCCGGCAUUCGUGCCGGUGUAUUUCCCCGCGGGCGGGCCAGCGUCGGUUUGGGCGGUCGGUCAAAGGCCCUCGGAAGGUAACGCCCCUAGGGGCGUCUUAUAGCCGAGGGUGCAAUGCGACCUGCCUAGACCGAGGAACGCGCUUCGGCUCGGACGCUGGCAUAAUGGUCGUAAGCGACCCGUCUU